UUGAUUUUGGUCAGGUUGCUAAAGUGUUGAAAAGAGUUAGGUUGGGGGGUGAGAUUAGUAGCAUAUUAUUCUCGGAACCUAAGGAACCAAUACACAUAGAUUUUUGUGGAAGAUUGAAGUUUAGUUCUUAGAAAGUAGAAAUGAUUUUAAAACUUCAGUUUGCAUAAUGCACUCCCUUGAUUGACAGUGUUUAGCAUAAGUGUUAUGACUCUUGUUGAGAUUUGGGUUUAUAUUUCUUUAAUGAUUCAUGUGAGAAUUAGAUCAUCAUGCCACUUGAGAAUUAUUUUCCUUUAGCAUGAUGUUGUAAAUUGUAGAUUAGUUUGCUAUUUAUUUUUAAUUUUCUCUCCUAUAUUGCUAAGGGACUAGCAAUAUGUCGGUUGGGGGGAGUGAUUACUACUCAAAAAGUGCUAUUUGAUAGCCUUUAAUUAAUCCUUUUUAACACUUUUGAGUAGUAGUUUAGGCCUUUUAACUCAAUUGGCAUGUUAAGGAUCC
rnacentral:lncRNA from 1 species